rnacentral:rRNA from 1 species
AUGGGGUUUAGUGCAUAUCAAAAUAUAUCGGCGGCAAUGCGGGUACUCGCUUAUGGCAUACCCGCGGAUUAUACCGACGAGUAUCUUCGCAUUGGGCAAGAUACAACCACGGAGUCCGUCCGUAGGUUUGCCAAGUUGGUCAUCCGGUUGUAUGGUGAGCAGUAUCUUCGGGUACCAAACGAGGAAGAUACAAAGAGAUUAAUGGAAAUGAAUGAAAAAAGGGGAUGGCCGGGGAUGCUUGGUAGUCUUGAUUGCAUGCAUUGGAGGUGGAAAAAUUGCCCAAAGACAUGGCACGGAAUGUAUUACGGUAAAAGCUGUGAUGCUACCAUUGUGCUUGAGGCCAUAGCAUCGGAGGUCACAUGGAUUUGGCAUGCAUUCUUUGGGUUGCCGGGAACACUCAAUGAUAUCAAUGUCCUCAAUAGAUCUCCUUUGUUCAAAAGAUUAAUUUCUGUGGAUGCUCCAGCUUGCAACUACAAAAUCAUGGACAAUGAGUACUCAAUGGGAUACUAUCUCGUCGAUGGCAUCUAUCCCGAAUGGGCAACUCUUGUGAAGUCCAUCAAGGAGAAAAAUGGGGUGCCCUUAACAAGAAAAGAGGCUCAUUUCACCAAGGCACAAGAGGCAGCCCGCAAGGAUAUUGAGAGAGCUUUCGGUGUUUUGCAAGCAAGGUUUGCAUAG